rnacentral:tRNA from 1 species
GCGCCCUUAGCUCAGCGGAUAGAGUGAACGGCUACGAACCGUUAGGCCGGGGGUUCGAAUCCCUUAGGGCGCGCCA